GCCCUCAAGACGAGGAUAACCGUUGGAAACGAUGGCUAAGACUGGAUAGGAAUACGGGAGGCGAUCUUCUGUAUUUCAAAAGACCUGGCAACAGGUAUGCUUGAGGAGGGGGCCUGCGGCGCAUUAGUUAGUUGGUGAGGUGAUGGCUCACCAAGACGAUGAUGCGUAGCCGGACUGAGAGGUUGAACGGCCACAUUGGGACUGAGAGACGGCCCAAACUCCUAAGGGAGGCAGCAGUAGGGAAUUUUCGGCAAUGGGGGAAACCCUGACCGAGCAACGCCGCGUGAACGACGAAGUACUUCGGUAUGUAAAGUUCUUUUAAGAGGGAAGAAUGGCCCGUGGAAAAGCGGGCGUGACGGUACCUUUUGAAUAAGCCCCGGCUAACUAUGUGCCAGCCGCGGC
rnacentral:rRNA from 1 species